GGUUAAGUUAACAAGGGCGCAUGGUGAAUGCCUUGGCACUAGGAGCCGAUGAAGGACGGGACUAACACCGAUAUGCUUCGGGGAGCUGUACGUAAGCUAUGAUCCGGAGAUCUCCGAAUGGGGCAACCCAGCAGUUUUAAUCAACUGUUACCACUAGAUGAAUUCAUAGUCUAGUUGGAGGUAAACGCUGUGAACUGAAACAUCUCAUUAGCAGCAGGAAUAUAAAGAAAUUUCGAUUCCCUAAGUAGCGGCGAGCGAACGGGGAACAGCCCAAACCAAAGUGCUUGCACUUUGGGGUUGUAGGACUGAACAUUUGAGUUACCAAAGAACUUGAUAGUCGAAGGAUUUGGGAAAAUCCGCCAUAGAUGGUGAUAGCCCAGUAGAUUAAAUCAAAUUCUCUCAGUUCAGGAUCCUGAGUACGGCGGAACACGUGAAAUUCCGUCGGAAUCCGGGAGGACCAUCUCCCAAGGCUAAAUACUACCUAGUGACCGAUAGUGAACCAGUACCGUGAGGGAAAGGUGAAAAGCACCCCGGGAGGGGAGUGAAAUAGUUCCUGAAACCAUGUGCCUACAAUAAGUCAGAGCGCGUUAAUGCGUGAUGGCGUGCCUUUUGUAGAAUGAACCGGCGAGUUAUGAUCCCGUGCAAGGUUAAGACUAAAAAGUCGGAGCCGUAGCGAAAGCGAGUCUGAAAUGGGCGUUUUGAGUACGAGGUUAUAGACCCGAAACCAGGUGACCUAUCCAUGUCCAGGUUGAAGGUGCGGUAAAACGCACUGGAGGACCGAACCCGUGUAAGUUGAAAAUUGCUGGGAUGAGGUGUGGAUAGCGGUGAAAUUCCAAACGAACUUGGAGAUAGCUGGUUCUCUCCGAAAUAGCUUUAGGGCUAGCCUCGGAAUUAGGAUCAUGGAGGUAGAGCACUAUUUGGACUAGGGGCCCGUCUUGGGUUACUGAAUUCAGAUAAACUCCGAAUGCCAUUGAUUCAUAUCCGGGAGUCAGACGAUGAGUGAUAAGAUCCACCGUCGAAAGGGGAACAGCCCAGACCAUCAGUUAAGGUCCCUAAAUGUAUGCUAAGUGGAAAAGGAUGUGGAGUUGCAUAGACAACUAGGAUGUUGGCUCAGAAGCAGCCACCAUUUAAAGAGUGCGUAAUAGCUCACUAGUCGAGUGAUCCUGCGCCGAAAAUGUACCGGGGCUAAGCAUACUACCGAAACCAUGGAUGCGACCAUUAGGUCGCGUGAUAGGAGAGCGUUCUAAGGGCGGUGAAGCAAGAUCGUGAGGACUUGUGGAGCGCUUAGAAGUGAGAAUGCCGGUAUGAGUAGCGAAAGAUAGGUGAGAAUCCUAUCCACCGAAUGACUAAGGUUUCCUGGGGAAGGCUCGUCCUCCCAGGGUUAGUCGGGACCUAAGUCGAGGCCGAGAGGCGUAGACGAUGGAUAACAGGUUGAGAUUCCUGUACUAGUUAAGUGCGUUUGAGCAAUGGAGGGACGCAGGAGGCUAAGAUGUGCAUUCUGUUGGAUUAGAAUGUCCAAGCAGUAAGUCUUGUGAAGAGUCAAAUGCUUUUCACUUUAAGGACAAGCUGUGAUGGGGAGCGAAAUUUAGUAGCGAAGCGUCUGAUGUCACACUGCCGAGAAAAGCUUCUAGUGAGUACUUAACUACCCGUACCGCAAACCGACACAGGUAGUCGAGGAGAGAAUCCUAAGGUGAGCGAGUGAACUCUCGUUAAGGAACUCGGCAAAAUGACCCCGUAACUUCGGGAGAAGGGGUGCUGAUCGCAAGAUCAGCCGCAGUGAAUAGGCCCAGGCGACUGUUUAUCAAAAACACAGGUCUCUGCAAAAUCGUAAGAUGACGUAUAGGGGCUGACGCCUGCCCGGUGCUGGAAGGUUAAAAGGAUGGGUUAGCUUCGGCGAAGCUCAGAAUUGAAGCCCCAGUAAACGGCGGCCGUAACUAUAACGGUCCUAAGGUAGCGAAAUUCCUUGUCGGGUAAGUUCCGACCCGCACGAAAGGCGUAACGAUCUGGGCACUGUCUCAACGAGAGACUCGGUGAAAUUAUAUUGUCCGUGAAGAUGCGGACUACCCGCGACAGGACGGAAAGACCCCAUGGAGCUUUACUGUAGCUUGAUAUUGAGUGUUUGUACAGCUUGUACAGGAUAGGUAGGAGCCAUAGAAACCGGAACGCUAGUUUCGGUGGAGGCGUUGGUGGGAUACUACCCUCGCUGUAUGACCACUCUAACCCGCACCACUAAUCGUGGUGGGAGACAGUGUCAGGUGGGCAGUUUGACUGGGGCGGUCGCCUCCUAAAAAGUAACGGAGGCGCCCAAAGGUUCCCUCAGAAUGGUUGGAAAUCAUUCGCAGAGUGUAAAGGCACAAGGGAGCUUGACUGCGAGACAGACAGGUCGAGCAGGGACGAAAGUCGGGCUUAGUGAUCCGGUGGUACCGUAUGGAAGGGCCAUCGCUCAACGGAUAAAAGCUACCCUGGGGAUAACAGGCUUAUCUCCCCCAAGAGUCCACAUCGACGGGGAGGUUUGGCACCUCGAUGUCGGCUCAUCGCAUCCUGGGGCUGUAGUCGGUCCCAAGGGUUGGGCUGUUCGCCCAUUAAAGCGGUACGCGAGCUGGGUUCAGAACGUCGUGAGACAGUUCGGUCCCUAUCCGUCGCGGGCGUAGGAAAUUUGAGAGGACCUGUCCUUAGUACGAGAGGACCGGGAUGGACAUACCUCUGGUGUACCAGUUGUGCCGCCAGGCGCAUCGCUGGGUAGCUACGUAUGGAUGUGAUAAACGCUGAAAGCAUCUAAGUGUGAAACACACCUCGAGAUGAGAUUUCCCAUUCCUUUAUGGAAGUAAGACCCCUGAAAGAUGAUCAGGUAGAUAGGUUAGAAGUGGCAGUGCGGUGACGCAUGAAGCGGACUAAUACUAAUCGGUCGAGGACUUAACCAA
rnacentral:rRNA from 1 species